AUCUAUCCGGUCCUCUGGCAUUGGAUACAUCCACUCGAUGCCCCCGACUAAGAUUAGCCACCGAUGUAUCUAAUCUAUUCAUCCAAGCCUCCUGCUUCUCCAACCUAUCUCUCACAUCUCCAAACGCCCUCUCAAACCUCUGCACCAAAUCCUCUGAUGCAUUGCUAUUAUUGCCUUGUCGGCUUGAAUUUGAUUCUGCCAUUUCUGACAUCCUAACACUAAAGAUCUUUAUUUUACUGCCUCAUCAAAAGUCACUCGAAAACACACAAGGGGUUUUACCCUCUAUUAAGCUCACCUCUCUGCUUUUUACCACUUAAUUCUUUCAACAAUUGCUUCUAGGAACAAUCAAUGAACUCAAUCAAUCAAUCAAAUUGUGUAGAAUUCCCCAAACCGGAUGUGACUCAAUAAUUGUAACAAAGGACUCAAAGAAAACUUUUAAAGCUUGACUUGAAUUGAAAGAAUGGAAUGACUUAAUGUGUCCAAGUAAUUUAGAAACGAUAAUGAAUAAUAAAAGUUGGUAUUUGAUGGAUCAAUAAUAUUUAACAAGGUUUUGUACGGAUGAACAGUACCGUACAGAUGAACGGUAAUUUUUUUUAGAUCUGGAAAUCAAUAAAAAAACUAACGAAGAAAAUGAAAACUGAUUCGAACAAAAAUUGAGCCCAGAAAUGGAAUUUGAAAUUUUUUUAUGAAACUUUUGGAUCAAAGAUCAAGAAAACCUUCUGGAUACAAGAACACAAGGAAUUGAAAAAAAAUUAGAAAACAAAGGAUAUAACUUGAUUAAAUUGGAGCCAAAGCUUUGAUACCAACCGAUACGAACCCCGUAGCAAUGGAAACUACGAAACCCACAACGAGAUUGAUGCGGAACCCAAGAACGCCAAUACUAACCACGUUUUGGAUCUUGAACCCCAAGAAUUGAACCAAGAAACCCUAGAUUAGCGAAGAACCUAAAACCCCUUGAUUAAAAUUAAAAGAACCCACAAUCCGAUUGAUUAGAACGCCACAAGAAGUUGAAUUUUGAUAAGUUCCAAGAUUAUUCAAGAAGAACAAGAAAUUGAAAGAACAAUUCUCUCUCUAUAAUAUUAAGAAAAAGUUAAAAGUUGUUACAAUGAAAAGUAUUCUCGUAUUUAUACUAAGGAGUAAAAACGUCCAAAAUCAUGGUAAUAAUUUGAUUUCAUAAGAAUUCUAUCGAAACUAGGAAAUUCGGCCAAAAUUAGAAAAUUCGCCAAUUUUUUUGGCUUGUGCGGCCGCAUAGUGUAAUUCCAUGCGGUCGCAUGGUUCAACAAGAAAUGCAAUAUUUGUUUUCGGUAUGCCACUGUGUGGCUGCAUGAUGUUUUGCCUGUGCAGCCGCAAAGGCUUGUUUUCAGCCUCCGAUUUUGUCGCUUGAUAACAAAUUGAUCCAAGUUGAUUCGGCCUUCGACCCGAACAUGAAAGUUGCUCCAUUUUGAGUCUCGAACAUGGUUCCAUCAAUGGUUUCUUGAACGAGAAAUCCCAUCGCUUGUUUCACUUGCUUUGUCCUUGAUCGCGUCAUUGGUCCGCCAUCGACUAUCAGCGGGUCUCAUCUCACACUUGCCUUCGUCGGGCUUGACUCCUGGAUCAUAUCACUUACGGCAUGGACACUAUGGUGUACACUUUAGUUUACACUUUCCCAAGGUUCAUUACCCUAUUGGACAGUAAAUAUUUCAAACAAUUUUCCAUUCAAUUGAUAAUUGACAACAAUCGGUAAGAACCUUGCGACAUUUACACUGUGGUGUACACUUUAGUUUACACUUUGCCACGUGACACUGCCAUACUGGACUGUUUAAAUUUCAAAAAGUUUUCUCAUCUAAUUGACACUUCACAAUAAAGUGAGUGUCAAACAACGUUUCAAAAAUCAGUGUACAAAUAGCAAAGUUCAAUCGGUAAGAACUUUGCUACAUGUACACUAUGGUGUAAACUUUAGUUUACACUUUGCCACGUAACAUUACCCUGUCGGACAUUUUAAAUUUCAAACAGUUUUCUCAUCUAAUUGACACCUGACAACAAAGCAAGUGUCAAACAACGUGUCAAAAAUCAGUGUAUAAAUAGCAAAGUUCAAUCAGCAAGAAUCUUACCACAUGUACACUAUGGCAUACACUUUAGUUUACACUUUGCCAGGUGUCAUCACCCUGUUGGAUAGUUUAAAUUUCAAAAAAUUUUCCCAUCCAAUUGACACUUGACAACAAUCCAAAUGUCAAACAACAUUUCAAAAAUUAGUGUACAAAUAACAAAGUUCAUUCGGUAAAAACCUUGCUACAUGUACACUAUGGUGUACACUAUAGUCUACACUUUGCUUCGUGACUUUACUCUAUUGGACAAUUUAAAUUUCAAUCAAUUUUCCAUCCAAUAGACCCUUGAGAACAAUAAAGGCGUCAAAUAACUUGUCAAAAAUCUGUGUACGAAUAGCAAAGUUCAAUCGGUAAAGACCUUGCUACACGUACGCUAUGGUGUACACUUUAGUUUACUCUUUGCCAUGUGACAAUAGCUUGUUGGACAGUUUAAAUUUCAAACAGUUUUUCCAUCCAAUUGACACUUGACAAUAAUGCAAUUGUACAAAUAGUAAAGUUCAAUCGGCAAGAACCUUGCUACAUGUACACUAUGGCCCACUUUAAUUUACACUUUGUCAUGUGACAAUACCCUGUUGGACAGUUUAAAUUGCAAACAAUUCUCCCAUCCAUUUGACAAUCGACAACAACUAUGCAAUUGUAAAAGGUGUCAAAAAUUAGUGUACAAAUAACAAAGUUCAAUCAGUAAGAACCUUGCGACAUGCACACUACAGUGUACACUUUAGUUUACAAUUUACCACGUGACACUACCCUGUUAGACAAUUUAAAUUUCAAACAAUUUUUCCAUCUAAUUGACACUUGACAACAAUAUAGGUGUCAAACAACGUGUCAAAAAUUAGUGUACAAACAGUAAAUUUCAAUCGGUAAGAACCUUGCUACAUGUACACGAUGGUGCAGACUUUAAUUUUACACUUUGCCUCAUGACAUUACCCUGUUGGACAGUUUAAAUUUCAAACAGUUUUCCCACCUAAUUGACACUUAACAACAAUGCAAGUGCCAAACGACAUGUCAAAAAUCAGUGUACAAAUAGCGAAGUUCAAUCGUAAGAACCUUACUACAUGUACACUAUGGUACACUUUAAUUUUCACUUUGCCACAUGACAUUACCCUGUUGGACAGUUUAAAUUUCAAACAGUUUUCCCAACCAAUUAACAAUUGACAACAAUGCAAGUGUCAAAGGUAUCAUAAAUCAGUUUACAAAGAGCAAAGUUCAAUCGGUAAGAACCUUGCGACAUGUACACUAUGGUGUACACUUUAGUUUACACUUUGCCAUGUGACACAUCCCUGCUAGACAGUUUAAAUUUCGAACAGUUUUCCCAUCCAAUUGACACUUGACAACAAUGUAAGUGUAAAACAACGUGUCGAAAGACAGAGUACAAAUAGCAAAGUUCAAUCGUUAAGAACCUUGUUAUUUGUAUACUAUGGUGUACACUUUAGAGUACGCUUUUCCACGUGACAUUACCCUGUUGGACAGUUUAAAUUUCAAACAGUUUUCCAAUCCAAUUAACACUUGCCAAUGAUGCAUGUGUCAAACAACGUAUCAAAAAAUAUUAAACAAAGAGCAAAGUUCAAUCGGUAAGAACCUUACGACAUGUACACUAUGAUGUACACCUUAGUUUACACUUUGCCAGGGGUCAUUACCCUAUUGGACAGUAUAAAUUUCAAACAACUUCCCAUCCAAUUGACAAUUGAAAACAAUGCAAGUGUCAAACAACUUGUCAAAAAUCAGCGUACAAAUAGCAAAGUUUAAUCGGUAAGAACCUUGCUACAUGUACACUAUGGUGUACACUUUAGCUUACACUUUGUCACGUAACAUUUCCCUGUGGGAUAGUUUAAAUUUCAAACAGUUUCCCCAUCUAAUUAACACUGACAACAAUGCAAGUGCCAAACAACGUGUCAAAAAUCAGUGUACAAAUAGCAAAGUUCAAUUGGUAAGAAGCUUGCCGCAUGUACACUAUGACGUACACUUUAGUUUACACUUUGCUAGGUGUCAUACCCUGUAGGACGGUUUAUAUUUCAAAUAGUUUUCCCGCCCAAUUGACACUUGUCGACAAUGCAAGUGUCAAACAACGUGUAAAAAAUAAGUGUACUAUAAGCAAUGUUCAAUCGGUAAGAACCUGGCUACUUAUACCCUAUGGUGUAAACUUUAGUUCACACUUUCCCCCAUGACAUUACUCCAUUGGACAGUUUAAAUUUCAAAUAGUUUUUUCAUCCAAUUGACACUUGACAACAAGACAAGUGUCAAACAACGUGUCAAAAAUUAGUGUACGAAUAGCAAAGUUCAGACGGUAAGGACCUUGGUACAUGUACACUAUGUUGUGCACUUUAGUAUACAGUUUGCCAGGUGUCAUUACCCUAUUGGACAGUUUAAAUUUCAAACAGCUUUCCCAUCCAAUUGACACUUGACAACAAUGUAAACGUCGAACAACUUGUUAAAAAUCAGUGUACAAACAGCAAAAUUCAAUCGGUAAGGACCUUGCUACAUGAACACUAUGGUGUACACUUUAGUUUACACUUUGUCACGUAACUUUAUCCUGUUGGGCAGUUUAAAUUUCAAAUAGUUUCACAUCUAAUUGACACCUGACAACUAUGCAAAAAUCCUCGUGUCAAAAAUUAGUGUACAAAUAGCAAAGUUCAAUCGGUAAGAACCUUGCCACAUGUACACUAUGGUGUACACUUUAGUUUACACUUUGCCCCAUGACAUUACUCUAUUAGACAGUUUAAAUUUUAAAUAGUUUUUCCAACCAAUUAACCUUGACAAUAAUACAGCUGUCAAGUAACGUGUCGAAAUUAAGUGUACAAAUAGCAAAGUUCAAUCGGUAAGGACCUUGCUACAUGUACACUAUGGUGUACACUUUAGUUUACUCUUUGCCACGUGAUAUUACCCUGUUGGACAGUUUAAAUUUUAAACAGUUUUCCCAUCCAAUUGACACUUGACAACAAUGCAAGUCUCAAACAACAUGACAAAAAUUAGUGUACGAAUAGCAAAGUUAAAUAGACAAAAACCUUGCGAUAUGUACACUAUAGUGCACUUUAAUUUACACUUUUCCACGUGACAUUAUCAUGUUGGACAGUUUAUAUCGCAAACCAUUUUUCCAUCCAAUUGACACUUGACAAAAGCAGUGCAGGUGUAAAAUGUGUCGAAAAUCAGUGUACAAAUAACAAAGUUCAAUCGGUAAGAACAUUGCGACAUGUACACUAUGGUGUACACUUUAGUUUACAAUUCACCACGUGCCACUACCCUACUGGACAGUUUAAAUUUCAAACAGUUUUCCCAUCUAAUUGACACUUGACAACAAUGCAAGUGUCAAACAACAUGCCAAAAAUCAGUGUACCAAUAGCAAAGUUCAAUCAAUAAGAACCUUGCUACAUGUACCCUAUGGUGUAGACAUUAAAUUUAUGCUUUGCGACGUGACAUUACCCUAUUGGACAGUUUAAGUUUCAAAAAGUUUUCCCAUCUAUUUGAUGCUUGACAACAAGGCAAGUGUUAAACAACGUGUCAAAAAUCAGUGUACAAAUAGAGAAAUUUCAACCGGUUAGAACCUUGCUACAUGUACACUAUGGUGUACACUUUAGUUUACACUUUGCUAAGUAACAUUACCCUGUUGGACAGUUUAAAUUUUGAGCAGUUUUCCCAUCUAAUUGACACCUGACAACAAUGCUAGUGUCAAACAACGUGUCAAAAAUUAGUGUACAAAUAGCAAAGUUCAAUCGGUAAGAAACUUGCCAAAUGUACACUAUGUCGUACACUUUAGUUUACACUUUGCCAGGUGUCAUUAUCGUGUUGGACAGUUUAAAUUUCAAAUAGUUUUCCCAUCCAAUUGACACUUGAUAACAAUCCAAAUGUCAAACAAUGUGUCAAAAAUCAGUGUACAAAUAGCAAAGUUCAGUCGAUAAGAACUUUGCUACAUGUACACUAUGGUGUACACUUUAGUUUACACUUUGCCCCGUGACAUUACUCUAUUGGACAAUUUAAAUUUCAAACAGGUUUUCCAUACAAUUGACCCUUGACAACAAUAAAGGUGCUAAAUAACUUGUCAAAAAUCAGUGUUCAAAUAGCAAAAUUCAAUCGGUAAGGACCUUGCUACAUGUACACUAUGGUGUACACUUUAGUUUACUCUUUACCACGUGACAUUACUCUAUUGCUCAUUUUAAGUUUCAAAUGGUUUUCCCAUCCAAUUGAUACUUAACAACAAUGCAAUUGUCAAACAGCGUGACAAAAAUAUGUGUACAAAUAGAAAAGUUCAGUCGACAAGAACCUUGCUACAUGUACACUAUGGUCCACUUUAAUUUACACUUUGCCACGUGACAUUACCCUAUUGGACAGUUUAAAUUGCAAGCAGUUUUUCCAUCCAAUUGACACUUGACAACAACAAUGCAAGUGUAAAAGGUGUCAAAAAUCAAUUUACAAAUAGCAAAGUUCAAUAGGCAAGAACCUUGCGACAUGUAUACUACGGUGUACACUUUGGAUUACAAUUUUCCAUGCGACACUACGCUGCUGGAUAGUUUAAAUUUCAAAACAAUUUUCUUAUCUAAUUAACACUUGACAACAAUGCAAGUGUCAAACAACGUGUCAAAAAUCAGUGUACAAAUAGUAAAGUUCAAUCGGUAAGAACCUUGCUACAUGUACACUAUGGUACAGACUUUAAUUUUACACCUUGCCACGUGACAUUAUCCUGUUGGACAUUUUAAAUUUCAAGCAAAUUUCCCAUCCAAUUGGCACUUGCAACAGUGCAAGUGUCAAACAUCGUGUCAAAAAUCUGUGUACAAAUAGCACAGUUCAAUCGGUAAGAACCUUGCUACAUAUACACUAUGGUACACUUUAAUUUCCACUUUGCCACAAGACAUUACUCUGUUAGACAGCUUAAAUUUCAAAUCGUUUUCCCAUCCAAUUGACACUUGACAACAAUGCGAGUGUCAAAGGUGUCAUAAAUCAGUUUACAAAUAGCAAAGUUCAAUCGGUAAGAAUCUUGCUACUUGUACCCUAUGGUGUACACUUUAGUUUACACUUUGCCCCGUGACAUAACUCUAUUGGAGAAUUUAAAUUUCAAACAAUUUUUUCAUCCAAUUGACACUUGACAACAAUACAAGUGUCAAACAACGUGUCAAAAAUUAGUGUACAAAUAGCAAAAUUCAAUCGGUAAGGACCUUGCUACAUGUACACUAUGCUAUACACUUUAGUUUACACUUUGCCAGGUGUCAUUACCCUAUUUCAAAUAGUUUUCCCAUUCAAUUGACACUUGACAAUAAUGUAAACGUCGAACAAUGUGUCAAAAAUCAGUGUACAAAUAGCAAAGUUCAAUCGGUAAGGACCUUGCUACAUGUACACUAUGGCGUACACUUUAGGUUACACUUUGCCAAGUGUUAUUACUAUGUUGGACAGUUUAAAUUUCAAACAGUUUUUUCCGUCCAAUUGACACUUGACAACAAUCCAAAUGUCAAACAAUGUGUCAAAAAUCAGUGUACAAAUAGCAAAGUUCAAUCGGUAAGAACCUUGCUACAUGUACACUAUGGUGUACACUUUAGUUUACACUUUGCCCCGUGACAUUACUCUACUGGACAACUUAAAUUUCAAACAAUUUUUCCAUACAAUUAAGCGUUGACAACAAUAAAGGUGUCAAAUAACAUGUUGGAAAUCAAUGUACAAAUAACAAAGUACAAUCGGUAAGGACUUUAGUUUACACUUUUCCAUAUGACGUCACCCUACUGGAGAGUUAAAAUUUAAAAACGUUUUCCCAAACAAUUGACACUUGACAACCGUACAAGUGUCAAACAACGUGUUAAAAAUCAGUGUACAAGUAGCAAAGUUCAAUCGGUAAGGACCUUGCUACAUGAACUCUAUGGUGUACACUUCAGUUUGCACUUUGCCACGUGACAUUACCCUGUUCGACAGUUUAAAUUUCAAACAAUUUUCCCAUCUAAUUGACACUUGACGACAAUGCAAAUGUCAAACGAAGUGUUAAAAAUCAGUGUACGAAUAGCAAAGUUCAAUCGGUAAGAACUUUGCUACAAGUACACUAUGGUGUUCACAUAGCAAGGUUCAUACAGUUUCAAUUUAUCCAUCCAAUUGACACCUGACAACGAUGCAAGUGUCAAACAACGUGUGAAAAAUUGGUGUACAAAUAGCAAAGUUCAAUCGGUAAGGACUUUGCCACAUGUACACUAUGGUAUACACUUUAGUUUACACUUUGCAACGUAAUAUUACCCUGUUGGAUAGUUUAAAUUUCAAAUAGUUUUCACUUCCAAUUGACACUUGGCAACAAUGCAAGUGUCAAAGAAGGUGUCAAAAAUCAGUGGAUAAAUAGCAAUGUUCAAUCGGUAAGGACCUUGCUACAUGUACACUAUGGUGUACAAUUUAGUUUACUCUUUUCCACGUGACUUUACCCUAUUGGACAGUUUAAAUUUCAAAAAGUUUUUCCAUCCAAUCGACACUUGACAACAAUGCUAGUGUCAAACAACGUGUACAAAUAGCAAAGUUUAAUCGAUCUGAACCUUGCUAUAUGUACACUAUGGUGUACAAACUUUAGUUUACACAAUGCCCCGUGACAUUACCAUGCCGAAAAGUUUAAAUUUUAAACAAUUUUUCUAUCAAAUUGACACCUGACAACAAUGCAAGUUUCAAACAAUGUGUCAAACAUUAGUGUACAAAUUGCAAAGUUCAAUCGAUAAGGACCUUGCUAUAUGUACACUAUGGUGUACAAUUUAGUUUACACUUUGUCACGUGACAUUACCCUAUUGGAUAGUUUAAAUUUCAAAUAAUUUUCCCAUCCAAUUGACACUUGACAACAAUGCAAGUGUCAAACAACGUGCAAAAAUCAGUUUAAAAAUAGCAAAGUUCAAUCGGUAUGAACCGUUCUAUGGGUACACUAUGGUCUAUACUUUAGUUUACUCUUUGCCACGUGACAUUACCCUGUCGAACAUUUUAAAUUUCAAACAGUUUUCCCAUCCACUUGACAGUUGACAACAAUGCAAGUGUCAAACAACAUGUAAAAAUUCAGUGUAUAAAUAGCAAAGCUCAAUUGUCAAGAACGUUGCAAUAUGUACACGAUAGUGUAUACACUUUAGUUUACACUUGACAACUUGACAUUACCCUACUGGACAAUUUAAAUUUCAAACAGUUUUUCCAUCAAAUUGACACUUGACAACAAUGCAGUGUCAAACAACAUGUCAAAAAUCAGUGCACAAAUAGCACAGUUCAAUCGGUAAGGACCUUGCUACAUGUACACUAUGGUGUACACUUUAGUUUACACUUUCCCACAAGACAUUACCCUACUGGAUAGUAUAAAUUUCAAACAAUUUUCCCAUCUAAUUGAUACUCGACAACAAUGCAAGUGUCAAACAACCUGUGAAAAAUCUGUGUACGAAUAGCAAAGUUCAAUCGGUAAAAACCUUGCUACAUGUACACUAUGGUGCACACUUUAGUUUACACUUUGCCACGUGACAUUACCCUGUUGGACAAUUUAAAUUUCAAACAAUUUUCCCAUCCAAUGGACACUUGACAACAAUGCAAGUGCCAAACAACAUAUCAAAAAUCAGUUUACCAAUAGCAAAGUUCAAUCGGUAUGAACCAUGCUACAGGUACGCUAUGGUGUACACUUUAGUUUACACUUUGUCAAGUGACGUAUGAAGAGCAAAAUUCAAUCGGCAAGAACCUUGCUAUAUGUACACUAUGGCAUACACACUUUAGUGUACACUUUACCACUUGACAUUAUCCUGCUGGGCAAUUUAAAUUUCAAACAGUUUUUCCAUCAAAUUGACACUUGACAACAAUGCAAGUGUCAAACAACGUGUCCAAAAUCAGUGCAAAGUUCAAUCGGUAAGGAACUUGCCACAUGUACACUAUAGUUUACACUUUCCCACGUGACAUUACUCUGUUGGGUAGUUUAAAUUUCAAAAAUGUUUUCCCAUUCAAUUGACACUUGAAAACAAUGUAAGUGUCAAACAACGUGUCAAAAAUUAGUGUACAAAUAAUAAAGUUCAAUCGGUAAGGACCUUGCUACAUGUACACUAUGGUGUACACUUUAGUUUACUCUUUGCCAUGUGAUAUUAUCCUGUUGGAUAGUUUAAAUUUCAGACAGCUUUCCCUUCCAAUUGACACUUGACAACAAUGACAAUGUCAAACAUCAUGUCAAAAAUAAGUUUACAAAUAGCAAAUUUCAAUCGGUACGAACCAUGCUACAGGUACACUUUGAUGCACACUUUAGUUCACUCUUUGCCAUGUCACAUUACCCUGCUGGACAAUUUAAAUUUGAAAUAGUUUUCCCAUCCAAUUGAAACUCGACAACAAUGUAAGUGUCAAACAACGUGUCAAAAAUCAGCGUAUGAAUAGCAAAAUUCAAUUCGUAAGAACCUUGCUAUAUGUACACUAUGGUGUACACACUUUAGUUUACACUUUGCCACUUGACAUUACCCUGCUGGACAAUUUAAAUUUCAAACAGUUUUCCAUCAAAUUGACACUUGACAACAAUUCAAGUAUCAAACAAUGUGUCAAAAAUCAUUGCAUGAAUAGCAAAGUUCAAUAGGUAAGUACCUCGCUACAUGUACACUAUGGUGUAUACUUCAGUUUACACUUUGCCACAUGACAUUACCCUAUUGGACAGUUUAAAUUUCAAAUAGUUUUCCCAUCCAAUUGACACUUGGCAAUAGUGCAAGUGUCAAACAACGUGUCAAAAAUCAGUUUACAAAUAGCAAAGUUCAAUCGGUAAGGACCUUGCUAUAUGUACACUGUGGUAUAUACUUUAGUUUACUCUUUUCCACGUAACUUCACUAUUGGACAGUUUAAAUUUCAAAAAGUUUUCCCAUCCAAUUGAAACUUAACAACAAUGCAAGUGUCAAACAACAUGUAAAAAUUCAGUGUAUAAAUAGCAAAGUUCAAUUGUCAAAAACCUUGCUAUAUGUGCACGAUGGUGUACAUACAUUAGUUUACACCUUGCCACUUGACAUUACCCUGCUGGACUAUUUAAAUUUCAAACAGUUUUUCCAUCAAAUUAACACUUGACAACAAUGCAAGUGUCAAACAACCUGUCAAAAAUAAGUGCACAAAUUGAAAAGUUCAAUUGGUAAGGACCUUGUUACGCGUACACUAUGGUGUACACUUUAGUUUACACUUUGCCACAAGACAUUACCUUGCUGGACAGUAUAAAUUUCAAAAAGUUUUCCCAUCUAAUUGAUACUCAGCAACAAUACAAGUGUCAAACAACCUAUGAAAAAUCAGUGUACAAAUAGCAAAGUUCAAUCGAUAAGAACUUUGCAACAUGUACACUAUGGUGUACAUUUUAGUUUACACUUUGUCACGCGACAUUACCCUGUUGGACAGUUUAAAUUUCAAACAGUUUUUGGGUCCAAUUGACACUUGACAACAAUGCAAGUACCAAACAACAUGUCAAAAAUCAGUUUACAAAUAGCAAAGUUCAAUCGAUAUGAACCAUGCUACAGGUACAUUAUGGUGUGCACUUUAGUUUACACUUUGCCACAUGAUGUUUUCAUGUUGGACAGUUUAAAUUUUAAACAGUUUUUCCAUCCAAUUUACACUUCACAACAAUGCAAGUAUCGAACAACGUGUCAAAAAUCAGCAUAUGAAGAGCAAAAUUCAAUUGGCAAGAACCUUGCUAUAUGUACACUAUGGUGUACACACUUUAGCUUACACAUUGCCACUUGACAUUACCCUACUGGACAAUUUAAAUUUCAAACAGUUUUUCCAUCAAAUUGACACUUGAUAACAAUGCAAGUGUCAAGCAACGUGUCAAAAAUCAGUGCAAAAACAGCAAAGUUCAAUCGGUAAGGAACUUGCCACAUGUACACUAUGGUGUACACUAUAGUUUACACUUUCUGAUGUGACAUUAUCCUGUUGGAUAGUUUAAAUUUCAAAAAGUUUUCCCAUCCAAUUGAUACUUGACAACAAUGCAAGUGUCAAACAACGUGUCAAAAAUCAGUGUACAAAUAAUAAAGUUCAAUCGGUAAGGACCUUACUACAUGUACACUAUGGUGUACACUUUAGUUUACUCUUUGCCAUGUGACAUUACCCUAUUGGAUAGUUUUAAUUUCAAAUAGCUUUCCCUUCCAAUUGACUCUUGACGACAACGAUAGUGUCAAACAACGUGUCAAAAUAAGUUUACAAAUAGCAAAGUUCAAUCGGUACGAACCAUGCUACAGGUACACUUUGGUGCACACUUUAGUUUACUAUUUCCCAUGUGACAUUACCCUGUUGGACAGUUUAAAUUUGAAACAGUUUUCCCAUCCAAUUGAAACUCGACAACAAUGUAAGUGUCAAACAACAUGUCAAAAAUCAGCGUAUGAAUAGCAAAAUUCAAUCGGUAAGAACCUUGCUAUAUGUACACUAUGGUGUACACACUUUAGUUUACACUUUGCCACUUGACAUUACCCUGCUGAACAAUUUAAAUUUCAGACAGUUUUUCCAUCAAAUUGACACUUGACAACAAUGCAAGUGUCAAACAACGUGUUAAAAAUCAGUGCACGAACAGCAAAGUUCAAAAGGUAAGGACCCCGCUACAUGUGCACUAUGGUGUACACUUUAGUUUACACUUUGCCACGUGACAUUACCCGAUUAGACAGUUUAAAUUUCAAACAGUUUUCCCAUCCAAUUGACACUUGGCAAUAAUGUAACUGUCAAACAACGUGUCAAAAAUCAGUUUACAAAUAGCAAAGUUCAUUCGGUAAGGACCUUGCUAUAUGUACACUGUGGUGUAUACUUUAGUUUACUCUUUUCCACGUGACUUUACUAUUGGACAAUUUAAAUUUCAAAAUGUUUUCCCAUCCAAUUGACACUUAACAACAAUGCUAGUGUCAAACAAUGUGUCAAAAAUCAGUGUACAAAUAGCAAAGUUCAAUCGGUCUGAACUUGCUAUAUGUACACUAUGGUGUACAAACUUUAGUUUACACUUUGCCACGUGACAUUAUCCUGCUAGAUAGUUUAAAUUUCAAACAGUUUUUCCAUCCAAUUGACACUUGAUAACAAUGCAAGUGUCAAACAACAUGUCAAAAAUUAGUGUACAAAUAGUAAAGUUCAACCGGUAAGGACCUUGCUACAUGUACACUGUGGUGUACACUUUAGUUUACUCUUUGCCACGUGACAUUACUCUUUUGGACAGUUUAAAUUUCAAACAGUUUUCCCAUCCAAUUGACACUUGACGAUAAUGCAAGUGUCAAACAACGUGUCAAAAAUAAGUUUACAAAUAGCAAAGUUCAAUUGGUAUGAACCAUGCUACAGGUACACUAUUGUGUACACUUUAGUUUAAUCUUUGCCUUGUGACUUUACGCUAUUGGACAGUUUGAAUUUCAAAUAGUUUUUCCGUCCAAUUAACACUUGACAACAAAGCAAGUGUCAAACAACGAGUCAAAAAUUAGCGUAUGAAUAGCAAAAUUCAAUCGGUAAGAACCUUUUUAUAUGUACACUACGGUGCACACACUUUAGUUUACACUUUGCCACGUGACAUUACCCUGCUGGACACUUUAAAUUUCAAACAAUUUCUCUGAAAUUGACACUUCACAACAAUGCAAGUGUCAAACAACGUGUAAAAAAUUAGUGCACAAAUAACAAAGUUUAAUCAGUAAGGACCUUGCUACAAGUACACUAUGGUGUACACUUCAGUUUACACUUUGCCACGUGAUAGUAUCCUGUUGGACAGUUUAAAUUUCAAACAAUUUUCCCAUCCAAUUAACACUUGGCAACAAUGCAAGUGACAAACAAUGUGUCAAAAAUCAGUGUACAAAUAGCAAAGUUCAAUCGGUAAGGACCUUGCUAUAUGUACACUAUAGUGUACACUUUAGUUUACACUUUACCACAAGACAUUACUCUGCUGGACAGUUUAAAUUUCAAAUAGUUUUCCCACCUAAUUGAUACUCGACAACAAUGCAAGUGUCAAACAACGUGUGAAAAAUCUGUGUACAAAUAGCAAAGUUCAAUAGGUAAGAACCUUGCUACAUGUACACUAUGGAAUACAUAUUAGUUUACACUUUCCCACGUGCCAUUACCCUGUUGGAUAGUUUAAAUUUCAAACAGUUUUCCCAUCCAAUUGACACUUGACAACGAUGCAAGUGCCAAACAACAUGUCAAAAAUCAGUUUACAAAUAGCAAAGUUCAAUCGAUAUGAACCAUGCUACAGGUACACUAUGGUGUACACUUUAGUUUACACUUUGCCACGUGACGUUUCCACGUUGGACAGUUUAAAUUUCAAACAAUUUUUCCAUCCAAUUGACACUUCACAACCAUUCAAGUAUUAAACAACGUGUCAAAAAUUAGUGUACAAAUAGCAAAGUUAAAUCAGUAAGGACCUUCCUACAUGGACACUAUGGUGUAUACUUUAGUUUACACUUUGUGACGUGACAUUAUCCUAUUGGACAGUUUAAAUUUCAAACAGCUUUCCCGUCCGAUUGACCCUUGACAACAAUGCGAGUGUCAAACAAUGAGUCCAAAAUCAAUGUACAAACAGCAAAGUUCAAUCGCUAAGGAACUUGCCACAUGUACACUAUGGUGUACACUAUAGUUUAUACUUUGCCACGUGACAUUACCCUGUUGGAAAGUCUAAAUUUCAAAAAGUCUUCCCAUCCAAUUGACACUUGACAACAAUACAAGUGUCAAAGAACAUGUCGAAAAUCAAUGUACAAAUAGCAAAUUUCAAUCGGUAAGGACCUUGCCACAUGUACACUAUGGUGUACACUUUAAUUUAAACUUUUCCACGUGACGUAACCCUGCUGAACAAUUUAAAUUUUAAACAGUUUUCCCACACAAUUGACACUUGACACUUGACAACAAUGCAAGUGUCGAACAACGUUUCAGAAAUUAGUGUACAAAUAGCAAAGUUCAAUUGGUAAGGACCUUGCGACAUGUACAUUAUGGUGUACACUUUAGUUUACACUUUGCCACGUGACAUUAUCCUGUUGGAUAGUUUAAAUUUGAAAUCGUUUUACAAUCCAAUUGGCACGUGACAACGAUGUAGGUAUCAACAAACGUGUCAAAAAUCAGUGUACAAGUAGCAAAGAUUAAUCGAUAAGAACCUCGCUAAAUGUAUACUAGGGUUGUACACUUUAAUUUACACUUUGCCACGUGACAUUACCCUGUUGGACAGUUUAAAUUUCAAACAGUUUUUCACUCCAAUUGACACUUGACAACAAUGCAAGUGUCAAACAACGUAUCAAAAACCAGUGUACAAAUAGCAAAGUUCAAUCGGUAAAGACAUUGCUACAUGUACACUAUGGAAUACACUUUAGUUUACACUUUCCCACGUGACAUUACCCUGUUGGACAAUUUAAAUUUCAAACAAUUUUUCCAUCCAAUUGACACUUUACAAAUAGCAAAGUUCAAUCGAUAUGAACCAUGCUACAGGUACACUAUGGUGUACACUUUAGUUUACACUUUGCCACGUGACGUUUCCAUGUUGGACAGUUUAAAUUUCAAACAGUUUUUCCAUCCAAUUGACACUUCACAACCAUUCAAGUGUUAAACAACGUGUCAAAAAUUAGUGUACAAAUAGCAAUGUUAAAUCAGUAAGGACCUUCCUACAUGGACACUAUGGUGUAUACUUUAGUUUACACUUUGCGACGUGACAUUACCCUCUUGGACAGUUUAAAUUUCAAACAGCUUUCCCAUUCGAUUGACCCUUGACGACAACACAAGUGUCAAAUAAUGAGUCCAAAAUCAGUGUACAAACAGCAAAGUUCAAUCGGUAAGGAACUUGCCACAUGUACACUAUGGUGUACACUAUAGUUUACACUUUGCCACGUGACAUUAUCCUGUUGGACAGUCUAAAUUUCAAAAAGUCUUCCCAUCCAAUUGACACUUGACAACAAUGCAAGUGUCAAACAACGUGUCGAAAAUCAAUGUACAAAUAGCAAAUUUCAAUCGGUAAGGACCUUGCCACAUGUACACUAUGGUGUACACUUUAGUUUACACUUUUCCACGUGACGUAACCCUAUUGCACAAUUCAAAUUUUAAACAGUUUUCCCACCCAAUUGACACAGGACAACAAUGCAAGUGUCGAACAACGUUUCAGAAAUCAUUGUACAAAUAGCAAAGUUCAAUUGGUAAGGACCUUGCUACAUGUACAUUACGGUGUACACUGCAGUUUACACUUUGCCACGUGACAUUACCCUGUUGAAUAGUUUAAAUUUGAAAUAGUUUUACAAUCCAAUUGACACGUGACAAUGAUGUAGGUAUCAAUAAACGUGUCAAAAAUUAGUGUACAAAUAGCAAAGAUUAAUUGACAAGAACCUCGCUAAAUGUACACUAUGGUGUACGUUUUAAUUUACACUUUGCCACGUGACAUUACCCUAUUGGACAGUUUAAAUUUCAAACAGUUUUUCCCUCCAAUUGACACUUGACAACAAUGCAAGUGUCAAACAACGUGUCAAAAAUCAGUGUACAAGUAGCAAAGUUCAAUCGAUAAAGACUUUGCUACAUGUACACAAUGGCAUACACUUUAGUUUACACUUUGCAAUGUAAAAUUACCCUGUUGGACAGUUUGAAUUUCAAAUUGUUUUCCCAUCCAAUUGACACUUGGCAAGAAUGCAAGUAUCAAAAAUCAGUGCACAAAGACCAAAGUUCAAUAGGUAAGGACCUUGCUAUAUGUUCACUAUGGUGUACACUUUAGUUUACUCUUUUCCAUGUGACUUUACCCUAUUGGACAGUAUAAAUUUCAAAAAGUUUUUCCAUCCAAUUGACACUUGACAACAAUGCUAGUGUCAAACAAUGUGUCAAAAAUCAAUGUACAAAUAGUAAAGUUCAAUCAGUCUGAACCUUGCCAUAUGUACACUAUAGCAUACACACUUUAGUUUACACUUUGCCACGUGACAUUACCCUGCUGGACAGUUUAAAUUUCAAACAAUUUUUUUUAUCAAAUUGACACUUGACAACAAUGCAAGUGUCAAAUAAUGUGUCAAAAAUUAGUGUACAAAUAGCAAAGUUCAAUCAGUAAGGACCUUGCUACACGUACACUACGGAGUACACUUUAAUUUACACUUUGCCUCGUGACAUUACCCUGUUGGACAGUUUAAAUUUCAAAUAGUUUUCCCAUCCAAUUAACACUUGACAACAAUGCAAGUGUCAAAAAAUGUAUCAAAAAUCAGUUUGCAAAUAGCAAUGUUCAAUCGGUAUGAACCAUGCUACAGGUACACUAUAGUGUACAGUUUAGUUUACACUUUGCCACGUGACAUUACCCUGUUGGACAGUUUAAAUUUCAAACAGUUUUCCCAUCCAAUUGACAAUUGACAACAAUGCAAGUGUUAAACAACGUGUUAAAAAUCAGUGUGUAAAUUGUAAAGUUCAAUUGGCAAGAACCUUACUAUAUCUACACGAUGGUGUACAUACUUUAGUUUACAGUUUGCCAGAUGACAUUACCCUGCUAGACAAUUAAAUUUCAAACAACUUUUCCAUCAAAUUGACACUUGACAACAAUGCAAGUGUCAAACAACGUGUCAAAAAUCAGUUCACAAAUAGCAAAGUUCAAUCGGUAAGGUCCUUGCUACAUGUACGCUAUGGUGUGCACUUCAGUUUACACUUUGCCACGUGACAUUACCCGGCUGGACAGUUUAAAUUUCAAAUAAUUUUCCCAUCCAAUUGACACUUGGUAACAAUACAAUUGCCAAACUUCGUGUCAAAAACCAGUGUACAAAUAGAAAAGUUCAAUCGGUAAGGACCUUGUUACAUGUGCACUAUGGUGUACACUUUAGUUUACUCUUUUCCACGUGACUUUACCCUAUUGGAUAGUUUAAAUUUCAAAAAGUUUUCGCAUCCAAUUGACAUUUGACAACAAUGCUAGUGUCAAACAAUGUGUCAAAAAUCACUAUACAAAUAGCAAAGUUCAAUCGGUCUGAACCAUGCUAUAUGUACACUAUUGUAUACACACUUUACUUUAC
rnacentral:lncRNA from 1 species